rnacentral:tRNA from 1 species
CCAUCGGUAGCUUAAGUUUAUAAAGUUUUGGGUUCUUACCUCAAGGUUGUGGAGUGCACUCGUUGGU